rnacentral:rRNA from 1 species
UACGUAGGGACCGAGCGUUGUCCGGAAUCAUUGGGCGUAAAGGGUGCGUAGGCGGCGCGGUAAGUCGGGUGUGAAAUCUUGGAGCUUAACUCCGAAACUGCAUUCGAUACUGCCGUGCUUGAGGACUGGAGAGGAGACUGGAAUUUACGGUGUAGCGGUGAAAUGCGUAGAUAUCGUAAGGAAGACCAGUGGCGAAGGCGGGUCUCUGGACAGUUCCUGACGCUGAGGCACGAAGGCCAGGGGAGCAAACGGG